GCCGCUUUGGCCAAGUGGUAAGGCAUCGCACUCGUACCAGGGAUCAAUGCGGGGAUCGACGGUUCGACUCCGUCAGGCGGCA